rnacentral:rRNA from 1 species
AAAGCGUGCGCAGGCGGUUUUGUAAGACAGUGGUGAAAUCCCCGGGCUCAACCUGGGAACUGCCAUUGUGACUGCAAAGCUAGAGUGCGGCAGAGGGGGAUGGAAUUCCGCGUGUAGCAGUGAAAUGCGUAGAUAUGCGGAGGAACACCGAUGGCGAAGGCAAUCCCCUGGGCCUGCACUGACGCUCAUGCACGAAAGCGUGGGGAGCAAACAGGAUUAGAUACCCCAGU